rnacentral:rRNA from 1 species
GAUGAACGCUGGCGGCGUGCCUAAUACAUGCAAGUCGAGCGAACAGACGAGGAUCUUGCUCCUCUUACGUUACCGGCGGACGGGUGAGUAACACGUGGAUAACCUACCUUUGAGACUGGGAUAACUUCGGGAAACCUAAGCUAAUACCGGAUAAUAUAUUGAAACGGAUGGUUCAAUAGUGAAAGACGGAUUGCUGUCACUUAUAGCUGAUUCCAGGCUUCAUUAGCUAGUUGGUUAGGUAACGGCUUACCAAGGCAACGAUGCGUAGCCGGACUGAGAGGUGGAUCGGCCACACUGGAACUGAGACACGGUCCAGACUCCUACGGGAGGCAGCAGUGGGGAAUCUUCGGCAAUGGGCGAAAGCCUGACGGAGCAACGCCGCGUGAGUGAUGAAGGUCUUCGGAUCGUAAAACUCUGUUAUUAGGGAAGAAGAGAUGUGUAAGAAACUAUGGAUGUCUUGACGGUACCUAAACAGAAAGCCACGGCUAACUACGUG